GAAAUCCGUAGAAGAAGGGACAAAGUCCCCAGGCAUCAUAUAAGAGGUGUACCGUUCACGAGUGAACCUUUCUACCCGAAAGAAAGUAAGCAUCUUAUUAAAGAAGAACUGCUACAUAAACCUCUGAAACCGCGGACUUCGCUGCUCCUUCUGCAAGGGCAGCCACUGACUCAAAGAAGAGCUCAAAGAGUCCUCAUAGCUAGAUUCCGCUCCCUUUGCUCGAGCUGUCUCGCAAUAUUCUUUGCACCUCUCCCUCAAGGUAUCGAUUUCAUACCUCAAAUCACAAGGCAAAGCGCUACCUCUCUUUCUUAGUAUGUGGUCUCUUGAUUUCAUUCUUUUUCUCACUGGGUCCAUAUAAAGAGUUCAUGGCUAGGGCGAGUCAUAUUCUUUUCUCAAGAGAUGAGAACUAAAGAAAAAUAUUUCCCGACUUCCUUAACUCAAAUUUCAUUGAGCCUGGUUUAUUUCCUACUAAAAAGAUGAAAUUCAAUAUUCUUUUCACCCUCCGUUAGGCGCAUAAUAUGGAUUUCUCAAUCUUCUUUGAGCCCUCCGUUAGGCGCAAAGUUCGGUUAAUUACGGAAAGUCCUCCGGACUACUUCUGUUAAUUACGGAUGGUCCUACUUCCAUAUGGAUAGUCCUACGGAUAAAUCCUCCGGACCCUGGACCUUUCUUUGGCCCUGCGGACUCCGGACUCCGGACUGGAAGAUUUCCGCUUUCUUUUUCAAUAGGAGAGGAUCGGGCCCGCUAACCCUAUCAUCGGGGAAGGAGGAAUCGGGUAGCUGAUCGAUCGGAAGAAGUCUUUCUCUUGCAGCUUGACCAAAGGAUCUCUUAUCCAGUAUCCAGAGAUGUGUUGCCGAAGCAAGCGAGAACAAAGUAAGGAAGAGGAAGGAAUAAGGCUGGCUAGCUAGGUCCUAAUCUGAUUAAAGGCUAAGUUGAAUCAAUACCAGAAGUAGACUUAGCAGAAGUUUAUGUGGAAGUGGUUUGUGGAAGCUCUUUCUCUUUGGUAACUGAGAUACCUUCUUUCGUCUUUUAGUGGAAUGAAACUCAUCUGGAGCUUUGAUUUUAGGAGUAUUAAGACCGCUCCGAAGGACUACUAUUUUAGUGGAAUAAGACUCGUCGAUCAUUCUUUCGAUAAUUCUUUGAUUGGGAAUAUUAGUUAAGACUCGUCCGGAGCGCUCCAUAUUAAGCUACGGAGGCCCCAUAAGACAGGGAUAUUCUUUUCUUUGGAUAGUCCUUCGGACUGAUUAAUGGUCUCAUUGAUAAGGACAUAUAGAAUGAAGCGAAGGACUUCUUUAUCCAUUGAAUUUAGCCGACCUCAAUGAGUGAAAAGAAUUAUCUCAGCUCUUUAUUUCUAAAAAGUGGGCAGUCGCUUCGCUUCGCGCCUUGACUCCGGGGGUAGGUUUAGUAUAGUAGGUUUGGAAGGAAAGCCUAUGGUCGAAACCCCAACUCGUCUUAGUCUCGAAUUGACUCUGCCGGAUUAAGUUGCUGGAUUUCUUCUUUCAGUAUCGCCUUAAAUGAUUUAUGGGAUUAAGAUAAGAGGACAUGAUGUCCCCUCGAAAAGAAGGUUGAAUAGUGGCUCGACUGAGUUGUAGAAGGAGAGAGAUCGGGAUAAAAGGUUCAAAGAUUCCUUCUUGCACUCCUUAAGAGUGACGGCUUUUUUCUUUUCCUCUCUAUCUACUUUCAUCCUAUAUAUUAGCCGACUGAUUUAUGGAACUAAAUCUUUCUGGGAGUCCCAUAAAUAAAUAAAUAGGGAUAUAAAGAAGUCCUUCGGUCCUCAAUGAUUCUGGAGGGAUAGGCUUUCUUCCUUCCCCUAUUAGCCCUUUUUAGGUUCCUUAGGCUUUCCUACUUUCUUCAGUGGAUAGUCGGACUCCUCCGCUCCGCCAUAAGAAAAGCCCACUACGCUACGUAGUCUUAUCUUCUUCUUCUUCUUAUUCUACUAAAAUAUCCUAUUAUUAUACAAGAAUCAAACUCCUCCUUCUCCUCAACGAAAGUAUGAAAGGACUCAAAUUCUGAUCGCCAUUCUCUUCUUUGCUCUUCUCGCAAUAUUCUUUGCGCCUGAGAAAGACAGGUUCAAGUGCUCAUUAACGAGAAUGAAAGAAGCUAAAAAUUCAUCUGCUAGAUUUCAGACGGAGUUCAAUCCCAGAAUAUCUAAGAAAAGAAGAAAGGAGUGCAAACGAAAACUAAUGGAUUUCAUAGUCCUUCGGACGGACUACCGCACCUCAAUUCAUGAAAUAUUCUUUGUCAAUAUUCUUUUCACCUCCGGAGCCUCUCUUUUCUUUCUGUCUUCCCCGUCCUCCGGACUAUUCAACCUAUUCCCCGUGAGACUCAGAUUACUAAUUCUCUGUUUGAGACUGGAUCGCAUAUGGUCUGACUCAUUUUAUCGCAAGAUCGAAGACAAUAUCCAUUCUGCCCGCUCCCUUCUGAUUGAUCUCUUGACUGCUGAAAAUCUUCCUUUUCCCCGCUCCGUGGGCUACGCUAUGGGAAGAGUUAGUCCGAGACUUUCCAGUUGAGAUAUUCAAACCUAUCCUUGACUCGUACAGCUUCAUGAAAAUACAAUAUCUAGUACACAAUCACCUUUAUAUUGGCGUCGGCCUAGGCCAGUGAAAAGCCUAUGGUACGAGAGAAAAUGCUUUAGGAAGGGGGGGGGCCCGUGGAUCGGAGCGAAGCAGCUCACUAUAAGAGUUGGGCGCUACAGAGGUUAUGAAAUAACUCGACUGAAAGGAGAGGGGCGAAGAGACUCGACCGUAGGGAGAGGGGCUCCGGUAUCGGUGAAUAUGCUCUCCCGUGCAGGUUAGUUCCCGAGAGUCCGCCUAUAAAUGAACUUUGCUCCGUUUUAGAGUCCUUCGGUUAAUUACGGAUGGUCCUACUUCGGUUAAUUACGGAUGGUCCUACGGAUAAAUCCUCCGGACUACUUCCCUCCAUAUGGAUGGUCCUACGGAUAAAUCCUCCGGACUACGGAUAAAUCCUGCGGACUCCGGACUCCGGACUACUUCGGUUAAUUACGGAUGGUCCUACGGAUAAAUCACCUGGACCUUUCUUUGGCCCUGCGGACUCCGGACUCCGGACUACGGAUAAAUCCUGCGGACGUAGGACUCCGGACGGGUCAAAGAAUUUGAGAAGCUGCGACGGAAAGGAAAUAGUGGAUGGACGAGUCCUCCGGACCGGACGACUAUGAAGAAUAUUUGAAAAAGAAAGAAGAUUUGAGGUGCAAAGAAUAUUGCGGAAAGGAAUCUUCGACAAAUCUCAUUACUACUACUAAUAGAAGAAAAGCCUAAAAUAAGCACAUUUGCAUCCGUCCUCAGUCGCAAAGUUCAUUUCUAGAAGGCUCAAAGGAUAUUGAGCGAAAGGCGCCAUAAGACAGGGAUAUUCUUGGACUCAUUUCAUGGGGAAUUUGGGCAAGACGCCUCUAUCUGAGAGUCGAGCUACUUCAAUCCGUACGUGAUCCUACUUCUUUCAUCAAAUGAAUAGCCCGUAACCAGAAGACCAAGAGCUAUGGAUAAUGCGAGCGAGACGUAAAGAGAUCAUGACUCGAUUCCCAUCUUCUUGCUUUAAUGGGACUAGGGCUCAUUCCACUUAUUAUCUUACCUCCUUCUCAAAUCAAAUUCUUUGAGCAAAAUCAAGCUCCCCUAAUGGAUAGUCCUUCUUCGCAAAUUCUUUGCGCCUGUCUCGCAAUAUUCUUUGCUGCACCUUGCUGACUCAUGAAACUCAUAAUCCUAUCUACAGAGCAUAUGAGAUGAUAAGAAGAUCGGAAACUUCUCUUUCUUCUUCGGCAACGGAUAAUUCAACCUCCACUAACCGCUGAAUACCUCUGUAGCAUCCGAUCCGCGAGACCUCUUCUCCUGCCUGCCGGAUAGCUGCUUCUAACCGCGUAGUGGGCAGGGAAUGCCCACUCCUCCUCUUGUUGGAACCUUUAUUCCGACUAAUAAUUGUAUCUGAGUUCCGAUUCUUCUCUCUCUUUCUUCAAGUUCGGGAUCCGGAACGAUUGAUCGUACUUAUUCAACAGGUAAUUCCCUUUUUCUCCUGAUAAAGAAAGACCCCAUCAUUCCCUUUCCGGCUAGUCCUACUCACAGAAAGACUAUCAAAAACCUCCCUCCUCCGCCGAAAGAUGAGUCUGAUACCCGCAGCUUUCUUUCAUAUUCCUUCUAUGAAGUUGGUCGUAUUCGCCCCUGAUACAGAGAAUACCUGCCUCCAUAAUUACGUAACUAGUCCUAUCACUGAAAGAUCUCAUUUGACUGAUUCCCCGCUCCGUGGUAUCCGCUUGCCCUCGUAAACUCUGGACUGAUGAUCAUUCCUAUCCUACAGAGCUGAACUUUUGGAGUACGAAAGGAAUCCCUCCCAGGUUUCUGCUCGCCAGAAGACGAGAAAGACGAGACCAUGAGGCGAGAUGGUAACUACCUUUUAAGGAGUUCAGGCAGUUGAGAUCAGAAGCUGCUCGAUUCCCUUCCCCUCUCAAGAGUCCGUCCUCACUUUCCCUGCUUUGUUUGAAGGCGAAGUUCUCACCGCCUCAAUGAACAAGGGGUUUUCUAAUAGUCUUGUAAAUCAGAAAAAUCCUAUUAGUAGUUUAGUUGGAGGCAGCUAUCUCUCCCAAGCCUUGUGUAAUUCAAGCCGAAUAUACCGCCCCGUAAUACCGCGUUCAAGCUAAUAGUUUGCGUAGAAUUCUCGAUUAAUAUUCUAUUAGGAGAACUCUCUUCUCAUCUCUUGAGAAAAGAAUAUGACGAGACCUAGCCCUAGCCAUGAACUAUUUCUAUAGACCUAGUGAGAAAAGGAAUGAAAUGACUCGACUAAAGAAAGAGGAAGGAAUGCUCUUGCCUCUGAAUUCCGAAACCUUUCUGCUCUUGAAGUAGAGUUGAGGAUGCUGAUCGAUAGGGAAUGCGCUCGAUCCUCACCCCUCUCCUCUCGCCUGGUUCUCAAUUUCUUACGUAAAUACUUCCGCUGGACACAUUUCCAUAAGAGGUUGAAGAUUCCAUCUCUCACGAUCAGCCCACUACGCGGUAAGAGACUGAGAUACCUUCUUUCUAAAUCGGAAGUUUGAAGCGGGUCUCUCGGGGAGUCGUCGUUGAAAGGGAUGCUGCCUGCGGAAGUUGAAUCCAUUUCAGUUCCUCUACCUUCUUCGGAAGUUCUUGCUGAAGAAGUAUUUAGAUCGCCGCUCUGAGUUAUUAAUGAAAUUAAUUACUAGAAUACGACCCGGAAAGGUAGCGAUCGGAUUGACUCGGUGCGGGUAAGGUCUUGAGUCUUGAAGUGAGAGGAAAAGAGGAAAAGCUUACCGCGUAGUGGGUUGGACGCGCCUCAAGCUCAAACUAAGAAGAAAGAGUCUUUUUAGUCGGGAAUGAGAUGAGAAGGAAGUUAUCUUUGUAUGAGAUCGAUCAUAGGAUCGACCGGGAACAGGAAGACUACGAGGUCUCAGUUUGUUUUCUUAGUCUCAUAGGAAUUCUAUAAAGUAGAUAUUCCGGUAAGACCGCCAUAAAAGAUAGGGGGGAUUUAAUGAGUUGAAAGACGACCAGUGGGAGUCAUCAGACUUCCAACAAUCAGACUCAGAGGUGAGGCGCUCGACCUCUUUCAUUCUCGUAUUAUCUUAUCAUCUAUUAGUAAUAAGAAUCCCCUGCGAGCAUGCCUUCCUUUCGUACCGAUCGUCAUAGACAAAAGAUGGAUUGGGUCCUUAAAUAAAUACGAAGAAAGCAUGAAGUAAGCAAUUUCUUUUCUAGAGUUCUCAUUAUGUGAUAGAAUGAAAUGAGUGAGAUUUCUUUCCGGAAGUACGAAGAAAGCAUGAAUUAAGCAAUGAUAUAGGCCAGCUUAUCGUGCUUAUCUUCCUUCUAAGAGGAGCAUGAAAGUAAUAGCAAAGCUCAAAUACUUUGAUCCUCGAACCUCUUCUAUCUUCUACCGUAAUUCGCCAAUCUCGAUGAAAGAGCAGGUAACUACCCCCCCCUCUUUCUUUACGAUUUACGGGUACUUACUCGUGCACGGAAUCAAAGAAGAGGCAGGCGAAGCAUUUUUGAAAUGAGAUCAGCAAGGUGCAAAGAAUAUUGCGAGACCACUAAAUAGAAGACUUAGCCUCAUUCUUCGGCCUUUAUUUGCGUAAAGAUAGUAUUAAGCAUCGAUUGACAAAGAAAGUACUCCAGUACCCAUUGAAAGUUCAGAAGUCCAGCUCUUUGUCAAUACGAACCAACCCUAGCUUGCUUGCCUUCAACUAGAAACUAUUCUGAUUUAGCUUCCACCUUGAAAGACGGAAAAAAAAGAUAGCUAAAGCAAUUCCAUUCUCAGUCAAGUCUAAUCGUACGAAUCCAUAUUCACCUUUUCUUUGCCGCCUUGAUUUUGCAAUAUUCUUUCUCAAUCUUCUUUGAGCCUUAUAAUUGAACCAGAUCCCCAUUAUUAAGCUACGAAGGCCCCAUAAGACAGGGAUAUUGAUUUCAUGAGUUCAAUAUUCUUUGAACCUUAUUCUUAGGCGAAGGACUGAUUUAUCAAGCUUAACUGAACCUUGUUCUGCGCUCUUUAUUUCUUUUCAAAAAGUGGGCAGUCGCUUCGCGCCGCGUAGUGGGGAACUUCCGCGUAGUGCUUUCUGGAUCGAAAGGUUAUCAGCCGAAAGAGCGAAUUCGCACACUGCUGAAAGGCAUAUUUCAUUGCACCUCAAUUCAACUCAUCUGGAGCUUUGAUUUUAGUCUUUCCUUUUGAGUUUGGGAAUCUACUUUGUCCCGCGUAGUGCUUUCUUUAUUGUCGGGAUGAGGAAGUAGGAAGUGGUAUUUCUACGAAUGAAAUGUGUCUCGCAAAUGCAAACAAGGAUUUCCCAUCAUAAGAAAGUUCACGGAAAGCCCUUGCCCUUAUGACUUCAUAGGCUUCGCUUCGCGCCUUUAUCUUUUUCUUCCUUAUUUUUUUGAGGUCUGCUCUCGCUGUGGUUGAAACCCUUGUUUCAGUAGAUUGAGUUCUUGUCUCCUCCCCGGUGGCUGUUGAAACCAGCUAUUAGAAAGAAGAUAGUUCAUUAUAUCAUAAUAUAUUCCCGUGUAGUGGGAUCCGCGCCUCGGGGAAGUGACCAUACACUUGACCAUAAAGAAGGGCAUUAGAAAGAAAGCUAGAAAAGGAGGAAACUUCAGCAUUACUAGUAAGCCCACGUAGCGGAGUAGUCGAGUCUAAAAAGGGUAGAUUCAUUCAAGGCAUAUUUCAUUGCGCCUCGUCCUUCCGCGCUCCGCUCCUUUUUAGUGGACGCUACUUGAUUAUGGGGGGAUGAGACCCAACUAUAAGACUUCGUCAUAUUGAAUUUCACCUUGCCUCCAGUUCCUUGCCUCCGGGAGUAGGUGAUGAGGUUUCGGACUUCUCCUUUUGACUCCUUUUGAGCUCUUUCUUUAUUCCUUUGAUUUUAGUAGGUUCAAUUCAAUAUUCAUGAAUUCAGGCCUAUCCAUUAGAGAAUUUGACUUGUUUCAAAAACAAAGGCUCCAGAUGAGAGGUGCCAUAAGACAGGGAUAUUCUUGAGUCACUAAAGAGUAUUUUCUUGUAACAAAGGCUCAAAGAAUUUGAGGAUGGAUAGGAAAUCCUGAAAUCAGCCUAUCGUCAGGCCUUGGUGGGAAUAGCUGCAGCUAUUUCUUAAACAAGAACAGCCACUGACGAUUCAACUUCUGCAACUGCUACUGCCACAAGAACGGAUGCCUCUUCUUACAGUCGAUUCGACUAAUCCUCUCUUCGUGCCUAAUCCGAUACCUCCCUCUCCCGGGCAGCUGCUUCUCUCAAUUACUGUGACUGUCGAAAGACCGACUACGUCGAGCUCCCUCUUGCUAUGGGGAGAGCGCCUAUUCCAGUCCAGGAGAUCAUAGAGAGAAUAACCUCUUGGUCCAGCUACUAAUGAGUGCAGUGAACUACUCAUGAAAGAGAGAAGAUGGUGCUAUUCCCGCUACGUGGGGGUCGAGCGAGCUCAUACUCACUUCAUAGGCUUCGCUUUUGCCCUCGUUCCUCAACUGGGGGGAGGGGACCUCAUUCUUAGUCUUUUCCCUUGAACCCGACGAAAGAGGCUUUCUCCUAAGAAAUAAUCAGGGAUGGUGCAUCCUCAACUAAUGCCAAUGGGUCGAGGUCGAGCAUUCGCACCUCACCGAAAGGGCUACAGCUUCUACUCCAACAGCAACGUCUGCAACCGGAACAGCCACUCCAAUCAUUGAUAAGGAUCUUUGAACCUCUCGCAACUUCAGAAAGAGGAGCAAGAAAAGCAAGAGCUUACUCAUCAUCAUCAAAUUUCAUUGAUCCUCCGUCCCCCUUUCUUCUUUCAAAGAUUCCGAUUCAGUGAAUCAAAAGUACUUCUAUUCCGUUUGGGACCACUAUUCUCGCUACCGAAAGAACCCCGUAGACCUAUGAGUUCUAGCAGGAAGGAGGCGCGUCCGUCCCGAGUCCUAAGACUUUUGUCGAGCCGUUCCACUCAUCGGGUAAAUCAGGUCUCUGGCUGAAUAAUAUAGUUGUUGUUCGCGCUUCUUCUCGUAAAGAUGAAAGUGUACUCACCGAGUCAACUCCAACAAAGCCCGACCCUUUUUCAAAGAGUGACUUCGUUAUGACGGACAAAGAUACUCAACUAGGUAUGGACGAUCCGACCCAGCCGGAGGCUGAUUAUCUGACUUUAUCGUCUUCAGAUAUAAGAAGCUAAAUAGAGGUUUAUCAAGUCAAUAUUCUUUGAACCUUCGCAAUAUUCUUUGCGCCUUCGCUCAAUUCACAUCCAUAAAUAAAUAGGGGUUAGGAGCUUUCUGAUCCUUACUCUUUCUUUGCUUUCUCCUAGGCUUUCUUCUUUCUGGGAGUCUUCCUAUAUCUUUUUCUGAUAUAAGGAAUCAAACUCCGCUCUGCUUCUUUGCUUCCAAACCUCAAAAUCAGACGAAAGCACUUAAAGAUUGUACAGUUUAGCUUUGACUCUCAGACUCUUAUUCAUAGCCAUCCAGGAAAGAAAAGCAUGACUAGGGAUGUGCUUCUUACCCCAAAGAAGCUUGAACCAAGGGACAGUAUUACCAGGAAGAUGAAAGAGCUUCACUGUCUUAGCAACUGAAAACUGACCUCUGAGGCCAGAUAGUUCUAUCUUCAGUAACCUUGUCCAAAGUCACAUUACUAACAAUGUCUCUCCAAGCAUUAGACAGCAUCAAUGGCUACAAGAAGCCGAAAUGAUCAUCCUUCCAUACAGCAUUCAGCCUGCAUUUCUUGUUAACAUCAGCAUCUCUGCCGAAUACUGAGACAGAGGGUCAAAGAAUUUGAGAACUCGGAAGACUAAAGCUCAAGCGCGCACUAAGAAGAAAAAGGGUGAGGGCCGACGUUCUAAUGGAUAGGACUGAGGCGCAUCAAAAAAAGGGUUGAAGAUGACCUUGAUUUUUUGGACCCUUAUUUAUUGUUUAUUGAGGCGGUUCAAAUAUCGAGACCAGAGGAAGCAAAGAAGCUGCGAGAGGUUUCGGAAUCUCCGGCUCUUGUCCCAGUGACGUCUGAGGCAGUUGAGUAUUUAGCCGAUAUAGUUCUUUCUUCUCAAAUUCGCCUCUCCUUUCAGUCGAGCCUCAAUGCAAUAUUCUUUGCGCCUUUGAAUCUGCGAUAACAUUGAGAUUUCCCAUCACCGACUGGAAGUCGCUAUUUUCUUUCGUCUUGCUCUUCGAUAAUUCUUUGAGCCUCCUUCUACCUCUUUUACACGGAGCGGGUUGGGAAGGCCUCAAGCAUACCAUCGAAUGCCACCAGUCAACCGAAGGCUGCAAUAGGUCCGAUCGCGCCGGUGCCGAUUCAAUUAUUCACCUGGAGACAAGGCUAAGAACAUCCCGCCGAAUGUGAACAAUUCGAAGAAUGUUUAUGUGAAUGCCCUCAGGACGCAUCCUAUGGUAUGCUUUCUGGCCGCUUUACCUCGUAUUGCUAGCGGUCGUGGGUGGCCCUGCGUCGCUCGUCACGUCCGCUUGUAGUGGUCACACAGGCAGUGCCUUUUUCUAUCCUAAAAGAAGGGUAAACCGAGAAACCCGUAGGCUUUCUGUCUUUUCUUUUUGCCUAUUUUAAGUCAUCGACCGCCUUGAUUUAUGUUUUCUCGCUCGCUUUCUCUGCCCUUCGCUUCCUGAUACCGGAAGGGGUAAAGCGGAAGUUCACUCCUAAGACUUGUAAUCAUCUUGCGUGACGGAGAGCCUUCGUCCUUGUCUUGAAUAUCCAUCCUGGACCGGAUAUCCCCGUGCGUCUCAGCAUUAAGCCUAUGCCUUAAAAGAUCCGGCGGACCCCAUCCUAGGGCAAGGUGAAGCCAGUAUGCUUUUUCCAGCUUUUUGCCCCUUUCGUACUGAGACUGAGGCUUCCGUGAUCCUUUCCUCUCUCCGCACCGAGAUAUAUAUCCAAUCGGGCAAUUCUUCCUUGAGCGAAGGAGUCAGACCUCCUUCGGCCUUAGCCUUUUUUCGGCAUUUUGGCCGAAGUGCAAAGUUAGCGAGCGAGCUUCCCCCACUACGCGGGCAGUCGGAUGUGAACUGCUUGUUCAACGAGAAUACCAGAGUUAGAAGAAUUAACCUUCCCACGCAGCGGUGACGAUGCUGUAGGUUCUUAGUGUACUUAGAUUGCAUGGAUUUUUCUUCUUUCUAUAUUUUAGAUAUACUGCUUGGCUAGCUCAGAACGCUAACGCUAAUUUGGAGAAGAUUUUGCAGGUUUGUGAAACCUUUAAGUAAAAGUAAUUAUCCGACUUCAAGCCUCCGGCAACUCUUAGCUAACCCGAAGAGAAAAGGUAAUUCCCGCUCUCGCAAUAUUCUUUGCGCCUUUAUUUAUCCUUUCUUCUUUUCUUAGAUAAAUGCGCUUCGCUUCGCAAUAUUCUUUGCGCCUUUAUUUAUCCUUUCUUUAUCCGUCCGGAGUGCCAAAGAAAGGUCCAGGGUCCGGAGUCCGCAGGAUUCUUAUCCGGAGGACUAUCCAUAUGGAAGUAGUCCGGAGGAUUUAUCCGUAGGACCAUCCGUAAUUAACCGAAGCAGUCCGGAGUCCGGAGUCCGCAGUGCCAAAGAAAGGUCCAGGGUCCGGAGGAUUUAUCCGUAGGACUAUCCAUUAGAAGCAGGAUUUAUCCGGAGUCCGGAGGAUUUAUCCGUAGGACCAUCCGUAAUUAACCGAAGUAGUCCGGAGGAUUUAUCCGUAGGACCAUCCAUAUGGAGGGAAGGAGGACUAUCCAUAUUCAGGAGCGGAAUCAAGAAUAGACCCGUCAGUAUCCGGACCAUAAACUCAAACUAGAACUGAUCCAUGUGAAUUUCUGGGAUAGGCUUGAUUCUUUCAUUGCGUUUUCCCGGCUUUUUUGCUUCUAAAUAGGACUAAAUCAAAGAUUGAUAUUUAACGAAAAUUGUCUAAAAAUGACGGAUUUUUCAUGAUUUCUUGCUACUUUAUAGGCCCAAAACCUAGCAAAAUCUGGGAUUUCCCUCCGUCUUCAAUCUAGUAUUGAACUCCGUAAAAACAAGGUGAUUCAAUCAGAAUUAUUCUUUCAUUAUCGUUAAUGAGUGAAUUAUUCUUUCAUUCUCGUUAAUGAGCUUCUUUCUUUGCGCCUAACGUCUGCUUUAAAGGGAUCAUGACUUUCGCAUAUUGAAUUGCGCCUCCUCCUUCAGCAUAAUCUAUAAGAAGAUUUGCACCUAUCAUGACUCUUUCGCAAUAUUCUUUGCUCCUAACUACGGGGUCCAGACUCCCUGAUGGAUAGUCCUUCGGACCUGUCUUCUCGCCUUACUAUUUUUCUCAUUCUUCCCGUCCUCUCCUCCACUCUCAGUCGAGCCCAUGGAGAUGCGUAGAAGGAUGAAUUCAAUAUGAGAGAAGAAGAUUUUCGGUUCAUUUUCUGUCUGAACUUUUUUGAUUGCUUUCUUCUUUUUCUCGAGACUAAUUGUACGGAUUCUCAUCUAGAUUUCGUUAGUCUUUAGUUUCCCUAGUUUCUAGUCGGACUAAAAUGAAAAUAGUCCGAGAUCAUUCUUUGAGCCUCUUUCAUUGAUCUAUUUUGAUGCUUCCUUGCCAGCAUCUUUCUUUCUCCCAUGCUUUCCGUUGGUCAACAACCAACCACUGCUCUCUAUAGUUCUUCACUACUCGUACAGGAAGGAUUUCUGUCUGGAGGGAAUUUUCUUGAGAAAAAGAAAGAAUGCCUCAACUGGAUAAAUUGACUUAUUUCACACAAUUCUUCUGGUCAUGCCUUUUCUUCUUGACUUUCUAUAUUCCCAUAUGCAAUGAUGGAGAUGGAGUACUUGGGAUCAGUAGAAUUCUCAAACUACGGAACCAACUGCUUUCACACCGGGGGAAGAACAUACGGAGCAAGGACCCCAACAGUUUGGAAGAUCUUUUGAGAAAAGGUUUUAGCACCGGUGUAUCCUAUAUGUACUCUAGUUUCAAAGAAGUAUCCCAAUGGUGUAAGGCCGUCGACUUAUUGGGAAAAAGGAGGAAAAUCACUUUUCUCUCUUGUUUCGGAGAAAUAAGUGGCUCACGAGGUCUCGAAAGAAAUAUAUUCUAUUUGAUCUCGAAGUCCUCAUAUAGCACUUCUUCCAAUCCUGGAUGGGGGAUCGCUUGUAGGAAUGAAAUAAUGCUAAUCCAUGUUCUACACGGCCAAGGAAGCAUCGUUUUUUAAUCAAGGUCGUUCGGACAAAAUAGAAGUUGCGCUUUCUUGAUUCUUAGUAGAAAGCAUUACAAGAGAGAUCAAUAAGAGAAAAAGCGAAGGAGCAGAGCCAAGUUCGAACUAAUAGGAGCGGAGCCAAGUUCGGAACUAAUGGACGUAGUAGGCUCCCCAUAAAUCAGAGGUUAGGAGCCCCUGUUCAUUGACUUUAGAUAUUAUGUCUGAAAAUAUCCUCUUAUUCACUUUGAAUUUCAGCCUAUCCUUUUUAUUCAAUUCAAACCGCGGAGCUCCUAUUCUUUUCAAAGUAAUAGCCGCACUUUGCACCUCCCGCUCUUCAUUUGCAAAGAUGUCCUUAUCAAUGAGACGACUGAGGCUCAAAGAAGAUUUCGAAAAACAAGGCUCCAACUAACCGUCCGGAGGACUAUCCGUAUGAACCUAGCCUUCGGACCAGUCCGGAGGAUUUAUCCGUAGGACUCUAAAACGGAGGACUAUCCAUUAGAACCAUUAGAAUAGAUCAAAAGAUCGUCUUGACCCAGCCUCCGGCUUCUUAUUCCGCUAUCAAAGUAUUCCACUACUCAAAGUAUUCCACUAAGGAAAUGCGCUUCUCACGCAUAUUUCAUUGCGCCUCUUGAGCUCUCUUCUCUCUGUCUUCCUCUAUUUUCUUCUUAUUCUGAUUCUUCCGAUAAUAGAAAACCUUGAACUCUCUUUAAAGAGGCAGAAAGGUAACUGAAAGACUCAUAAGUGCAGCUGUCAAUAUUCUUUGAACCUUGUUCAUUCAGGCUAGGCUUUCCUCUGAAUUCAAACCUUAUAUUCCCUUUCUCGUUGUUCAUAACUAUUCUAUGUGAAUGAUCCCUUGUUCAUUGAGGCGGUCUUCUAUGUUUACAGGUUUGAAUAGAAAGAGUCAUCCCUUCCCACGUGUAAAGUUUCAUAAAUUAAUGCUGCCUCAACCAUAGGCUUUUCUCAAUUCUAUGUGGCCGCCGGGCGGCGCAGAACGCACUAAUCCGCGACCAACAAGUUUUCCGAAACCAAACUGAAGAGAAUUGUUACUUUCCAAAAAUGCUUGCUGAAAAUCAUAGGCUUUCUCCUUUCAGUUUCUCGUAUUCAGUCUCAGGAUAGGCUUUCUUCAGUAUUUAUUAGGUUCUUGGGAGAAUCCUCGUCCAAGACCCCACGGAGCGGGAGAAUCCUUCGUCUGAAAAAGAAGAGAGCCUACUAAAAUAAAACAGAAGACGUAGAAGUCUGCAAUUGAGAUUCAUUCAAGAAGACGGAGCGGAAUAAAGAGAAGGUAAAGUCAGAAAAAGUGAAAGGAAUAGGAAAGCAGUUAAAGGAAGUUCAAGGCUCCCCGGUUUUCAAAUAUGAUGAACUCAAUUCAUUCAGCCUUAACUCGCAUAUUUCAUUGCGCCUCAUCUAGAGCUUUUGUUUUUGUAGUCGCAAUAAGACAGGUCCGAAGGACAGACGGGUUAAUAUGGAUAGUCAUCUGGUCCCUUUUAUUUUGUUCUUUGCUCCUAACGUUCCCUCAAAUUCUUUGAGCCGUCCGGAGGACCAUCAAAGAAAGGUCCAGGUGAUUUAUCCGUAGGACUAUCCAUUAGAAGUAGGACCAUCCGUAAUUAACCGAAGUAGGACUAUCCAUUUUCAGUCGGACUAUCCAUAUGGAAGGAGGACUUUCCGUAAUUAACCGAACAAAGCUCCUAACUACUAAUGGAAAGGACUGAGGACGUCCGAAGGACUCUAAAGCGGACGGGGGGGAUUUCCGCUUAAAAAGUCUUAUUCCAAUAAUAUCCGCGGGGGUAGAUUCAAUCUUCUUUUCACCUCCGUCUCAUUCCCUAAUGGAUAGUCCUUCGGACCUGUCUUAUGGCGCAGUUCUUCCCUCGCAAUAUUGGGCCUCAGUAGCUUAAUAUUCAGGGGUGGAAAUCUUGUUGAAGACGGAGGUUCAUAUGGAUAGUCCUUCGGACCAGUCUUAUGGCGCAUCUGGACCCCUUAUAAUUGGGCCAUAGAUCUUUGCACCUUGUUUUUCUUCUUUGCGCCUAACGGAGGGGAGGGGAUAGACUUUUGACUUUUUCUUCCUGAUCAUCGACCGCCUUUUUUUUGAUUCUUUUCACCUUGUUCAUUGAUUGCGCUUGCACGAGUAUUCUCAAUAUUCUUUGAACCUCUCCUCUGUCUAUUAGAAUAGCGAAUAGUCCCCAGAUCCAAGGCGAAGGACUAGUCUGAAAUCAACCAUAUUAACCUGUGGAAUCUUUGAUACAUCCACAUUGUUCAAAGAAAGCCUAUCCUCCGUCCUUUUUCAAUAUUCUUCGAUCAUUCUUUUUCAAUAUUCUUUCUCAACAAUAUCCCCCACGGUGCGGUAGUCCGUCCGAAGGACUAUUCAAUCCAUUAGUUUUCGCUUGCACUCCUUUCUUCUUUUCCGCAAUAUUCUUUGCUCCGAUCAUUCAUAGAUUAUGCUGAAGGAGGUCCUCCGGACUAUCCAUAUUAGUGACCGCGGAAGAAAAACAAAGGUCUAUAUGAACUAGUUAGGCGAAGGACAGACAGGUUAAUAAAUAUGGAUAGUCCUUCGGACCUGUGGAAUGUAAAAGAAAGCCUAUCCGUCUCAUUGAUAUUGAUAAGGAACCCUCCUCUUGAGUCUGAAAUCUACCCCUAUUUAUUUAUGGAUUUCAUUGAAGGCGAAGGCGCAAUGAAAUAUGCGUUGACGAGCGCAAAGAACUAAAAAGAAAGGUCCAGAUGACUAUCCAUUAGGGAAAUUAAGGAGCAAAGAUCAUGGCCCACUCCUCCUUCAGCAUAAUCUACGAAGCGCAUUUAUCUAAGAAAAGAAGAAAGGCUCUUUGAAUAUUGAGAAUAUUGCUGGAAGAUUUGCACUGGGGGAUAUUGAUUUGAGAGAAAGAUUAGACAUUGAGCCUCCUUCUACGUCUUUUAGAUAAAAAAGAGAUUUUUCUUCCAUAAGGAUGAAAACGAGUCCUCCCCUUGUUCAUUGAGGUCCGCUCCCUCCUUUUGAGCUUUCUUCUUUAUUAUCCCGCUCCGUCUUCAGCUCCGUGGGCUUCCUUUCAUAUUCAACCGCUACGUGGGAGAUAGAAGAAAAUCAAUGAAGAAGUCAAUGCCCACUACGCGGGGAAGGAGACAAGACUACGUAGCUACUUUCAGUGGAUAGGUCGUCCGGAGGACUUGUUUUUAUCCAUCUGAGGAACUCAAACUUAUGGCCUCCGUAGUCCGCUCCCUCCUUUAUUUUCAAGGUUUCAUAUGAAAGGUUUGAAGUUAGAAGUGAAAGGAAGAAAAAGUCAAUGGAAGUCCUCCGUCUCUCUUCUUUAUGGUCCGGAGCCUUCGAUCAUUCUUUGAGCCUCCAGACCUACUAGAGAAAGCCCCACUCCGCGGAAGAAUCCAGAAAGCUAAGCUUGAUAAAGUCCUCCGCCUAAUUCAAUGGAUCUAAUGGACGCAAUAUUCUUUGCACCUGGACCCAGCCUCCAGCUUCUUAUUCGACGUUAGGAGUAUUAAGACCGAAGGACAGACGGGUCCUCCGGACCUGUCUGUCCUUCUAUAUAUUCUUUGCACCGCUCCGUGGGUCCUUUCCAUUAGUAGUUAGGAGUCUUAAGACCUCAGUCCUAUCCAUAUUAACCCGCGCUAAGUUCCAUUAAGAGAAAAUUCUUUGCUCUCUGCGACUCAAAGUAAUAGUAUUCAACAAUAUCCCUGUCUUAUGGCGCCUCGCAUAAAUACGGCUUCGAUCAUUCUUUGAGCCUCCGUCGCAAGUCAAAUUCUCUAAUGGAUAGGCCUUCUCCUUCGCCUAUAAAUUCCCAUAUUAAGCUACGAAAUAAAGAAAGCACUACGCGGGAAGAACUGAUCAAUGAAAUUUGAUUGAUUGAAUUUCAUCAUAUCAUAUUUGAAAAAGAAAGAAUAUUGAGGUGCAAAGAAUAUAUAGAAGGCGCAAAGAUCUAAAAAGAAAGGUCCAGAUGACUAUCCAUAUUAACCCAGAGAAAGUUCAGUCAGUUUCAGUGGAAUAAAGGGAAAGCCUAUCCAACAACAUUUCAGUGGAAUAGGAGAAAGGAAGUCCUCCGCUCCGUUGGAGUUGAAUUGGUCCUACGGGAAGAAAAUCAAUGAAGAAGUCAAUGCCCACUACGCGGGGUUAAAGUGAAAGAGGAAAGCCACUAAAAACCUCAAAAUAAUACGGAAAGCCUAGCCUUCUACGGCCUCCAAACAAAAAAAGCUUUACUAGACUCAAAUUCUUUGAGCCUCCGGAGCCUCAAAAAUAUAGCUUAAAGGAAGAGGUGCAAAGAAUAUUGCGUGAUUGAUGCCUCCGUCUCUCUGAUUUAUGGUUAUGGUUCUCCUGAACCUACUCCCUACGGCAAGGCAGAAGACUGCCAGAAAGAAGAAAGCCUAGGAGAAGACAACUCCCAGAAAGUUUGAAAGUGGAAUCAAAUAACUAAGAACGAAGAUUUGUUGGGAAGGAAAGCCGUCAUAAGUACUUUCGUCUUAUUUUUAGUCCUCUUUCAUUGAUCUAUUUUGAUGCCAAGAAGAAACUUCAGGAUUACUAUCAAUGAACAAGGGAAGCACUACGCGGAAGUUUCAGUUCCUCAGUCGGAAUAUGGACCUCGCAUAUUGAAUUGCGCCUUCUCUCCUUUCAGUCGAGCCCUCAGUCCUAUCCAUUAGACUGCACCUCGCAAUAUUCUUUGCGCCUGCGCCUGGACCUUUCUUUGACUAGAAACUGAAAGUAGGCUUUCUUCUAAUAGUAGAAUAAGAGGAUAUUUUCAGAGAAGAGAUAAUCAAGAUAAAUAGCUAAGGAUAUUCUUUCUUCCCGUGUAGUGGGCUUACGGAGUGGGUCGCAAAGUGAAUUUCUAGGCGAAGGCUGAAUGAAUUGAGUUGCGGCUAUUACUUUAUUUGGAGCGAAGGUGCAAAGAAUAUUGCGUGGAUGGAUAGGUGCAAAGAAUAUUGCGAGGCUCAAAGAAUCCCACGGAGCGGGAUAGUCCUCCGGACUGUUAAGGCUCAAUGCAAUAUGAGUGAUUCCUAUUCCCGCCUUCUACGCCAUAAAUCAGUCGGAAUAUAGAGGGCUCUAUCCAAGGAAAGCCUAGGGCUCGGUCAAAGCAACGAGAUCUUUUUCUAGUUAGACUUCUAUCAAUGCAAUGAAAGAACCAUCCCUUCCUAUUUUUGAGUCCUGUCAGAUAGAAAGAAAAUGAGACCCCAAAGAGCCCUUCUUUACCACUUUAGCGGGUGGGGGUGAAGGGGGGGUUUACAUACAACCGAGGCAAAGUGGUUUAUGA
rnacentral:lncRNA from 1 species